GAUAAAUUACCUUCUACUUCUAUCUGCUCUAUGGUUUUUGUUAAGUCUCCUCCAUCCAAGUCUGCAUUAUCCUCAUUACUGAACUCCUCCUGAUUUUCCACCUGAAUUGCUAAAGGAAUAUGCAGUUUCUCAACAGUUUAUAAUCAGACUUUGACUAUUCAGAAGUUCUACGAAAGGGCAAGUUGAUAAACUAACGCUUGGGCUUCGAUUUGAGGCAAGUUAAAAUUUUCUUAGGCUCUUUUUCAAAGUUGUAUGUGUUAGUUAUGUGUAAUAAGAGUAAUGGGGAAUGGGGGCCUCGUAUAGGUUAAGUGACUAAAAUUUAUGUGGGUACCGAUGUUAAUUGAGGGGUUAAAGUAAGUCAAUUGUACGUUUGAAUUAUUUUUCCUAUUUUCUAGCCCGAUGGGCUGAUUUGCUAUGAUAAAUAGAUUAUUGAAAAUGCUAGCUAACGUGAAAUGCUUUGCUUAACCUUAUUGUUGAUUUGGGAUCAGAGUUACAUGCCUGCAGGUCAUGCAUUGCAUUACAUAAGGGGUCGGAGUGCACACCUACACAAUUUAUUUAUUGGAAUCGAAGUGCACUCCUACACAAUAUAAGGACCUUGUGAGUCCCCCAUGGUUCUUGACCUUUAAGCCAUUGCUCGGUAGGUGUAUGACGUUCCAUGGUUUUAUGGGACUUACGAUGGUUAAACUUUGAAAAUAUGCAUGUACUUAAGGUUAUUUUAUUGGACCUGAUGUGUUUUUGGAGUGAUUUUGUAGAAAACUAGGUGUUGAAAGCUAACUGAAAGAAAAUGAAAUGAAAAGACGAAAAAUGACUACUUACUAAGAGACCUACGACCCAUAGGUACCAGCUACGGGGCGUAGGUGGGUUCAUAGGUGUCAGAAACUGAAAUUCCAGAGGCCAAAAUUUGAGGACUACCUACGGCCCCCUGCCUAUGGGCCGUAGGUUCCACCUACAACCCGUAGGUGGGUUCGUAAGUGGCCACCAACAUAAUUUUACCAGAUCAUUUUGAUGUUAUUUCUUAGGGUUUCCAAGUAACCUAAACCUACUCCUAUGAUAUUUUUAGUCAUUGUUAUGUACGUUUAGUUAAAUUUUCCUCAUUUUUUUUUGGAUUUGAAUUCUAGGAUUUUCAUGUAAUCUAUAUAUACCUUUUUUUAUGUUUUUAGUUAGAUAGUCUAGGGAUAGGCCCUUUGGGGCUAAGUUUACAUUAUUUACAAAUAUCUUUUGAUUCUAAGAUUGGCUUGUGAUCUUGGGAUCUUAGUGUUUUGGGUUUGUUCUUCAAUUUGAGACUUUGGAUUUUCUUAUUGUGAUAUUAAUUCUAUAAUUUUGUCCAUGAAUUUCAUGAAUUAUCUUGCAACUAUGAGUGGCUAAUUCCCUUAUCUAGGGUUGUGGGAACCCUAGAGGAUUAAUGAAGUAGAGGAAAUGCCAAGUCAUUCUAUAUAAAUAUUCUUGCAUGUAUUGUAGUUUUCUUUGAUUUGAUUUUCUUUUUAAUGGGUGCACACAUUAUGAUCCCGCCUAUAUUCACUACGAGACUGAUCGGGAGGUAGAAAUUGGGAAAAGAAGAUCACAAUAGUGUUUGGAGUUAACUGCCAAAAUAAGCUUACCUGCAUUAUCAACUUAAGACGAUUAUAUUUCAUCUAAUAACUUGAGACUCAAAAGUUAAUAGUUAAAUUGGGAUCCAGGGUAAGGGUAAGUAAAGUGACACCCUCAGACUCAAAAGGUAAAGGCUAAAAUCUGUCAAUGAGUCCACAAGACAGUUAAUGGUACAUAACUUAUUAGAUUUUGCAGGCAAGGUAUUGAAAUAGUUUGAUAGUUCAUAAUAAAUCUACGGAGUUAGAAUCUAGGGGAAACACAAGCCUAGUGUUCUUAGAUUUAUUACAACCUCAAGUGUCCAGUUCUUGUUAUUUACUAUUGUAGUAAAUCCCUCCUUUUUACUUUUUCGGACUACCUAGUGAUUUCAACAAGUUUGAGAAGAAUUUUUGAUAUAUUCCAUGUGGAAUCGAGCCCAACCUAGUUGGGUUACUAUAUUUUGACAACAAUUGCUUUAUCCUUCAAUUGAAGGUGUAGUUUUGGUGACAUCAAAAUUUUAGCAUCGUCGUCGAGGAAUACGAUUGUAGAUUGACUGAUUAGAAUUGUUGAAGUUGUCAGAUCUUUUCUUUCCUAUUUUUCUUGGGGUAUAUUCUACUGUAUGCCUACUCCUCUUGAGAUGAAAACUUGGCCAUAGGAAGUAUAGAACGAUGAAGACUUAUUUAUUAUUGAUCCUUAUCCUUUUGAUAUGGUGCAUUAUUGUAGGAGUGCGGCAAAUAUAGCAUGGGAACAAAAGGAGAGCCUGAUGGAAACAUUGAUAUACCUUGCAAACAAAAAUCAAGAGCUUAUUCAAAAGUUUGAUAGUUUUGGCUUGGAUAUUUACCACUUACAAGUAGAGUUGAAUGUGAAAGUUGUUGCAUGUAACACCUAACAACUUAGUUAUGGGUAGUGUGAGUUUGAAAAAAUUCUGAAAAGCCACCUUGAGGAACUGAAAUUGAAGGAGUCAACAAUUGCUCAUACUCUUAUGGAUAAUGUCAUUAUUAAGGAGAGCAUGCUAGAUUUAUGUGGGGAUGUAAAUAAGAUCGGAACUCUUGAUUUGGAGUGUAUUGGACCUUAUCCGAAGCAUUUUUUCAUAUUAUGUUUUGAUAGUAAGAUAUUGAUCGAGCCAUCUGAACCCAAAGAAAAGUGCAAGAAAGAGUGAACAUAUAUCUAUAUUCUUGAAUUUGUUGAGCCAUAAAAAAAGAAUUGCUUUCCUCGCGUAAGGGCAAAGAAGUACAACAUGCCUCAUCUAUUGCUUAAGUCCUUUAUUUUUAUACCACUGCCCCUUGAGCAUAAUAGGAAAUCAGAAAAACAAUUGGGGGUAAAAUUUAUAAGUUCAAAUAGAGAGAUAAAAUUAGAGGCUUAAUGAAGUCUGAGUAAUCAAGGUACCCAUGGGCUUAUUGGUGAAGUCUGAGUAACCAACAUAGCCCCGUCAUGCCGCGAAGCCAAAAAAAGCACUGCUUAGGAGGCAACCCAGGGUAUUUUGUUGUUUGUAUACAUAUUAUUAUGAUUGAUAUCAAAUCUAAGUACCUAUGGUGCCACAGGUAUAUUUCUAACUCUCUUGUUUUGUAGCGACCCAAUGCAUUACAUGUCUUAAGUUGAAGGUAGGGUUGGUUGUGGGUCUUGACGUUCUUUUGGGGGUUUUAUUGUCGUGCCUCUUUUACCUGGUGUUCUGUUUGUUAAAAUGUAAGGGGGUUUCACCACACUAUGAGGGACCAGGUCUCUUAGAGUCAAACACAGGAAAUAAAACAGUAAAGCACUAAGAAACUAAAACUUUGCAGGAAGAUAAAGAACAAACUGGUUUAACGUUGAAACCUCCUUGCUCAAGGGAGGAAAAAACCACUGCAUGCCCUCAAAAGCACUCAACAAUUCACUAAAAUCAAACUCUUGAUUACAAACUCAAUGGGAACUUAAAUCUAAGCUCCAGCAGUUUGUAACAACUCUAUUACAAACAGACUCUAACAACUCUGCCAAGAACUCACUUCGAUAGUGAUUAACUGUAACUAAUAUCAAGCUCAAGUAACUCUACCUAAUCACUCUCAAGAACACAAGAAAAGAAUUACUCUUAUAACAUAAGUAAUUCAAUUAUAGACAAAUACUUGACUCAAGAACAUACACACUCUCAGCACACAAAGAUUGGGACUUAAACAAUAUUUGAGUUUUUGCUGAUUUCUCUUUUUGAACAAUCUGAUUAGAAAAACUAGUGAAUUGAGAAGCAUUAUUUCUUUUAUAGUGGAAUAAUGAUUAGGGAAGAAAUCUGAUUGGGCCAAGUGCCCUGAAUGGUACACAUCUCACCUACACAGUUUUUUACACUAAAAGACAAAAUUAUGAAGGCCAUGGGCAGUUGUAUGUUUCCGUGAAGAACCAGGGACCUGGACUUUGUUGCCAGCUGGUCAUCAUCAAAAGAAGAUUUUAGAAAUUUUCCCCUUAUUGAUGAUGACAAACCAUAGAACUUGGAGCAUCAAAUUCAUUCACCUUAUUUAGUCAGAGCCACUACUGCCAGUGAAUGUUCCCUCUAUCACUAUGCACCUUGCUUUCCCUUGUAAAUAUAUCAUACAACUUAGGGACCUGGUCCCUUGUUGUCAACUGACAUCAAAAUUCAUUCAGUAUGUUUCAAUUUUCUCCCUGUCAAUAUACCUACACUUAUCAUUGUUCACUCAGUUUAUUAUUCCACCUAUCACAUGCACCAUCAACAUUCAACAUUCUUCCCAUUAUCAAUAAUCAUACUUCACCAGCAUUUAACACAUAUGCACAUGGUACCUAGUCCCUAACAUAUCAUGUAACCACAUAUGCACCUGGUACCUAGUCCCUAACACAUCAUGUAACCACAUAGGAACCUGGUACCUAGUCCUAACACAUCAUGUAACACACACCUCACCUAGUUCCUACCACAUGAGUUUGGUAUUCAUCUUUAUGGCAUUAUUAAAAAAUGAUAAAAAUAAUCUAAGAGCAAAAUAAGCACAAGUCAGUUAACUCAUGGCCACUAGGUCAACACAAACAUGAAGAACAACUUUAAAGUAAAGAAGAGAUAGAUGCAACACAUAAACAAAGGAUUCAUUCAUUUUCUAAAAGAGAUCAGUACCAUUACAACAUAUCAAAAUAAACAUAAAAAUUCUAAUUCAUCAAAGGCCACUUUAGAAAUAAGAACUGGAAAUGACACAAUGAUGACAAAGGGACAAAGUUUAUAGGACUUAGGUAGAGGGGGGAUUUGGGGAGAAGGAUUAGAGAAACAACUCCAUUCUAGAACUCUCUACAGCGUGAGCAUUCAACAAUUGAUUAGUGAGGUCUUUAAAUUCUGCAUUUAGACCUUAAACCUGCUUAGUGAGUUCUGGAAUCUUGGUUUGGAGCUAUACAUUUUCUACUUCAAGUGCCUCAGUGGCACCAGGUCCCUCAGAGUAUAACUUCUGAUUCUACAUCUUCAAGUGCACUAUAUUAGCAUCCUUAGCGGCCAACUUAAUCCUCUUCUCCUUCAUUUUCUUGCUUAAAUUCUCCUGAGCAGCCAAUAGCUCUGACACUUAGGAAACAAUUCCCUCUUUUCCAUUUAUGCAUUUAUUUUCCACCAAUGUUGUCAAACUAAAAUUCUGUUUGACUGUUCCAAGAGUCCCUUUAGUCCCAAUCAUUUCAAAGUGAUCAAAUACCUUAUUCAAUAAGUACCCAUAAGGUAUCCCAUGCCUUUCUUUCUUCUCAUGCACCACCUUAUUUAUGUUCUCUAUCAUAAGAGCAGGCAGACUUAUUAGCUCAAAUUUGCUCAGACUCUAUAUAAAAAAUGAUCAAUAGUAGAAACAAUGGUCCUUUUCUCUAACCUGGGAAAAAGGGCCAUGUUUAAAAAUUCAAACACUAAUUGGAACUCAUUUGUAUGAAAUUUCUUUCUCAUAUCACCUAUUGAUGUUCCCUCCUACUUUAGAAGCAUCAAUCAUGAACUCAAUUAAAACUUGUUGCUUUACAACAAUCCUCACCCCUAUAACAAGCACAUCCAGGAUUUUCCCUAGUGAUUCCUCAUCCAGUUUUAUCUAUUUUCCUUGGACUUGUGCAGUAAGGUUUAGCCAAUCAUCUGAGAAAUACAUAGUGUAGUAGAAUUCUCUUACUUCUUCAAACAACAUAGGAGCUGGUUUCUGUAGGAGGUGUAACCAUCCCUGGUGUUUGACAUUUUUCACCAGAUCUACCAUGAUAGGUUUCUCAUAAAUCAUGGGAUCAAACA